rnacentral:rRNA from 1 species
AGCCGAUGAAGGACGUUACUAACGACGAUAUGCUUUGGGGAGCUGUAAGUAAGCUUUGAUCCAGAGAUUUCCGAAUGGGGAAACCCAGCAUGAGUUAUGUCAUGUUAUCGAUAUGUGAAUACAUAGCAUAUCAGAAGGCACACCCGGAGAACUGAAACAUCUUAGUACCCGGAGGAAGAGAAAGAAAAUUCGAUUCCCUUAGUAGCGGCGAGCGAAACGGGAAGAGCCCAAACCAACAAGCUUGCUUGUUGGGGUUGUAGGACACUCUAUACGGAGUUACAAAGGACGACAUUAGACGAAUCAUCUGGAAAGAUGAAUCAAAGAAGGUAAUAAUCCUGUAGUCGAAAAUGUUGUCUCUCUUGAGUGGAUCCUGAGUACGACGGAGCACGUGA